rnacentral:rRNA from 1 species
AGUGAACGCUGGCGGUAGGCCUAACACAUGCAAGUCGAACGGCAGCACAGUAAGAGCUUGCUCUUACGGGUGGCGAGUGGCGGACGGGUGAGGAAUACAUCGGAAUCUACUUUUUCGUGGGGGGUAACGUAGGGAAACUUACGCUAAUACCGCAUACGACCUACGGGUGAAAGCAGGGGAUCUUCGGACCUUGCGCGAUUGAAUGAGCCGAUGUCGGAUUAGCUAGUUGGCGGGGUAAAGGCCCACAAAGGCGACGAUCCGUAGCUGGUCUGAGAGGAUGAUCAGCCACACUGGAACUGAGACACGGUCCAGACUCCUACGGGAGGCAGCAGUGGGGAAUAUUGGACAAUGGGCGCAAGCCUGAUCCAGCCAUACCGCGUGGGUGAAGAAGGCCUUCGGGUUGUAAAGCCCUUUUGUUGGGAAAGAAAAGCAGCAGGUUAAUACCCCGCUGUUCGGACGGUACCCAAAGAAUAAACACCGGCUAACUUCGU